CCUACGGGAGGCAGCAGUGGGGAAUCUUGCGCAAUGGGCGAAAGCCUGACGCAGCCAUGCCGCGUGAAUGAUGAAGGUCUUAGGAUUGUAAAAUUCUUUCACCGGGGACGAUAAUGACGGUACCCGGAGAAGAAGCCCCGGCUAACUUCGUGCCAGCAGCCGCGGUAAUACGAAGGGGGCUAGCGUUGCUCGGAAUUACUGGGCGUAAAGGGAGCGUAGGCGGAUAGUUUAGUCAGAGGUGAAAGCCCAGGGCUCAACCUUGGAAUUGCCUUUGAUACUGGCUAUCUUGAGUGUGGGAGAGGUUAGCGGAACUCCGAGUGUAGAGGUGAAAUUCGUAGAUAUUCGGAAGAACACCAGUGGCGAAGGCGGCUAACUGGCCCAUUACUGACGCUGAGGCUCGAAAGCGUGGGGAGCAAACAGGAUUAGAUACCCUGGUAGUCCACGCCGUAAACGAUGAGUGCUAGUUGUCGGCAGCAUGCUGUCGGUGACGCAGCUACGACAUAAGUACACUCCGCCGUCGGGUAGGUACGGUCGCGAGAAGUUAAACUAACAAACUAGAAGUUAGACGGCGUGAGACGUGCCGAACGGACGACGACGAGGGAGGUAGG
rnacentral:rRNA from 1 species